rnacentral:rRNA from 1 species
AGAGUUUGAUCAUGGCUCAGAUUGAACGCUGGCGGCAGGCCUAACACAUGCAAGUCGAACGGUAACAGGAAACAGCUUGCUGUUUCGCUGACGAGUGGCGGACGGGUGAGUAAUGUCUGGGAAACUGCCUGAUGGAGGGGGAUAACUACUGGAAACGGUAGCUAAUACCGCAUAACGUCGCAAGACCAAAGAGGGGGACCUUCGGGCCUCUCGCCAUCAGAUGUGCCCAGAUGGGAUUAGCUAGUAGGUGGGGUAACGGCUCACCUAGGCGACGAUCCCUAGCUGGUCUGAGAGGAUGACCAGCCACACUGGAACUGAGACACGGUCCAGACUCCUACGGGAGGCAGCAGUGGGGAAUAUUGCACAAUGGGCGCAAGCCUGAUGCAGCCAUGCCGCGUGUAUGGAGAAGGCCUUCGGGUUGUAAAGUACUUUCAGCGGGGAGGAAGGGAGUAAAGUUAAUACCUUGGCUCAUUGACGUUACCCGCAGAAGAAGCACCGGCUAACUCCGUGCCAGCAGCCGCGGUAAUACGGAGGGUGCAAGCGUUAAUCGGAAUUACUGGGCGUAAAGCGCACGCAGGCGGUUUGUUAAGUCAGAUGUGAAAUCCCCGGGCUCAACCUGGGAACUGCAUCUGAUACUGGCAAGCUUGAGUCUCGUAGAGGGGGGUAGAAUUCCAGGUGUAGCGGUGAAAUGCGUAGAGAUCUGGAGGAAUACCGGUGGCGAAGGCGGCCCCCUGGACGAAGACUGACGCUCAGGUGCGAAAGCGUGGGGAGCAAACAGGAUUAGAUACCCUGGUAGUCCACGCCGUAAACGAUGUCGACUUGGAGGUUGUGCCCUUGAGGCGUGGCUUCCGGAGCUAACGCGUUAAGUCGACCGCCUGGGGAGUACGGCUGCAAGGUUAAAACUCAAAUGAAUUGACGGGGGCCCGCACAAGCGGUGGAGCAUGUGGUUUAAUUCGAUGCAACGCGAAGAACCUUACCUGGUCUUGACAUCCACGGAAGUUUUCAGAGAUGAGAAUGUGCCUUCGGGAACCGUGAGACAGGUGCUGCAUGGCUGUCGUCAGCUCGUGUUGUGAAAUGUUGGGUUAAGUCCCGCAACGAGCGCAACCCUUAUCCUUUGUUGCCAGCGGUCCGGCCGGGAACUCAAAGGAGACUGCCAGUGAUAAACUGGAGGAAGGUGGGGAUGACGUCAAGUCAUCACGGCCCUUACGACCAGGGCUACACACGUGCUACAAUGGCGCAUACAAAGAGAAGCGACCUCGCGAGAGCAAGCGGACCUCAUAAAGUGCGUCGUAGUCCGGAUUGGAGUCUGCAACUCGACUCCAUGAAGUCGGAAUCGCUAGUAAUCGUGGAUCAGAAUGCCACGGUGAAUACGUUCCCGGGCCUUGUACACACCGCCCGUCACACCAUGGGAGUGGGUUGCAAAAGAAGUAGGUAGCUUAACCUUCGGGAGGGCGCUUACCACUUUGUGAUUCAUGACUGGGGUGAAGUCGUAACAAGGUAACCGUAGGGGAACCUGCGGUUG